AGGAUAAUUUCUCUUAAUUUCUCUCGUUAAAUCUACAGUUGGUCAUAUAGAUGAUCUUUCUGAGCCACUGCUCAAAUGGCAUGUGUAUGUCACCGGGCAUAGUUUAGGUGGAGCAUUGGCUACCCUUCUUGCUCUCGAGCUUUCCUCUAGCCAGUUAGCUAAGUGUAGGGCAAUCUCUGUGACUAUGUAUAACUUUGGGUCUCCUAGAGUUGCUAACAUAAAGUUUGCAGAAAUUUAUAACAGGGUAAUAAAAAUCACCAUCUACAAUUUUAUUCACAGAAAUCUCCAUUUAUUUGAUAUAAUUUUGCAUAAAUACCUUUACUUUACCCUAUGGCUCUGUAUUUUGUAAUGAAGUUAGGCCACAAGCAUGCAUGUAGAAACUUAACAAGAGCAAGAAGGG